UCUCCAGAGCCGGUAUACUGUAAUUGUAUAAUAUAGUCUUAUCCGCAGAUGUUGUCUAGUUCAAGCAGAGACCCUCCACAAUCUCUUGUUCAUGUAACUCAUUUGCCAAAAAUGGCCACUUGUGCUUCUUUUCAGGUUCAGGUGGCCUCCAUCAUGGAGGUUUUAGCGAAAACGGCAGUUGCAGAAAUUACUAAACUAGUCGACGAUGGGUCUGCUGUUUUACGAUUACAGAUGUGCAGAAGCCAAAGAGAGAACGAAGCGCUAAAAACGAAGUUACUGCUGAUGGAGGGAGAGCUCAGGGCUGUGCGAGGAUACGGAGAGGGAACGCCGGGCAAUUCUCUAAACCUCUCAUUUGAAGUUCAGGUUUGCGACGAAUUCAGAGAGGGACCUGAGUUUUGCAGCUUUUUGCAUCGAAUGUUGCAGGGAAAGGAACUAUACCCGUCACACAGAGAGUCUUUGACGAGCAACUGAGUAGAGGUUCGGCCAAAGAUGAUCAGAACGUGCACGUGGAGAAGAAACGCGACGCGCCGGAUGACUUGGAUAUAUACAGUUUGAGGUAAAAUCAUCAGGACGUAAGGGACUGUGCAUGAAUUUCUAUUAUUUAUGUUUUGGGAUUUUGGGCAGGAGCAUGUUUUUAUUAUUGUAUGUCGGGGAGGGGGCGGGUUCAGAAGAAGGCGGUGAUUUGCUGGCGUUCAGAACUUCCGGUGGACAGAAUCUUCACACUUCCUGUGUGUCAGCCUGUAGAUGGGGAGCAGGAUUGGUGUGAACCUCUGCUGCUUAGCAAGGAUAGGCUGGAAGAGGAUCCACCAAUCACAGGUGGAACAGAACAUCGGUGGGGAGAUCACUUGUGGCAUAUCGGGGGCAGCCGCUGUUGAUGGUGGUGGUGAAGGACCCCUUUGUGACGAGGAGGAGCUGCACAUGCAGCCCUGCCCUGCAGGAGACCCAGAAAAGGAGCUGCAAGCAGAACUCAAACAGGAGCCAGAGGAGCAGCCUCUCACCCCCACACUCCCCCUGUCUGUGGUCUUGGGGCUGGAGCUCCAGUCUGUGUGGAGUGAGGCCACCAGCUCAGGAAUAAUUCUGGGAAAACGGAGAAGGCGCAGAAGACGUUCGGCGCUUGAAGACGCCUGGUUAGAGGACGACAGAGCUAUAAUUAUAUAUAUAUAUAUAUUAAAAUACACCAGGUUGUUCACAAGAGACACAAGAGAGACCGUUCAACUGUACACUAUGCGGAAAGGGUUUCUCCACCAAAAGCAAUCUCAAUUCUCACCAGAAGGUCCACACGGGAGAGAAACCGUACCACUGCGACCAGUGUGGGAAGGGCUUUGGCCAUCUGUCUAAUCUUAAAACUCACCGAAAGGUUCACACUGGGGAGAAACCGUUCAGUUGCACGCUGUGCAGCAGGAGUUUCUCCCAGAAUUGUGCUCUUAAGAGGCACAUAUUUUCUCACAAUAGGCUGAAAAAACUAGGUUAUCUUUGAGCAAAAUCAAAGUUUUACUGUAAUUCAAUUUAGAUUUUGUGAGGAGUUAACUAGUUUUGGCAGGUAUCAGCUGGUUAUACUCAUAAACACAUGCAGUCAAGGACUAAUGGCCAAACAUGUUGGUUUCUAAUAAAACGAGUGAGACCUCUCUUUGAUAUUGAGUGAAAUAUUCCUUGGCCUUUUUCUUUCUUGAUUGUUUGUGAUACACCGGUGAUGAUGGCAAGGAUGCAGUAGCACUUCCAGUGCAAGGGUGUUUAUUAUUUGCAGCCCAAGGAGAUAAUGUGCUCAGUGGGUCCGGGGAAUCCGACCCUUCCUCACCACCUACCCCGCUCAGCUCCUUGUUCAAGCAAUGGUCCUGUCC